rnacentral:rRNA from 1 species
GAUGAACGCUGGCGGCGUGCCUAAUACAUGCAAGUCGAGCGAACAGACGAGGAGCUUGCUCCUCUGACGUUAUCGGCGGACGGGGGAGUAACACGUGGAUAACCUAACUAUACGACUGGGAUAACUUCGGGAAACCGGAGCUAAUACCCGAUAAUAUAUUGAACCGCAAGGUUCAAUAGUGAAAGACGUUUUUGCUUUCACUAAUAGAUUGAUACGCGCCGCAUGAGUUAGUUGGUGAGGUGACUGCUUACCAAGGCGACGAGGCUUACCGGACCUGAGAGGGUGAUUGGACAGCUGGGAACAGAGACACGGCCGAGACUCCUACGGUAGGCAGCAGUAGGGAAUCUUACGCGAUGGAGGAGAGCGUGACGGAGCACCGCGGGGUGAGGCAUGAUGGUCUUAUGCUCGGAAAACUCUGUUGUUAGGGAAGUACAAAUGUGUAAGUAACUAUGCACGUAUUGACAGUACCUAAACAGUAAGCUCCGGCUAACUACGUG